rnacentral:lncRNA from 1 species
GGCCACAUAGCGGUCAUAGGCCAUCACCAGCAGAAGAAAGACCUCUGAUCCACCAAAAAAGUGCUCUGUAAAGAGCUGAGCCAUACAAGAUUGGAAGGAUAUGGUAUUUUCCCCAAAGAACAAGUUUGAAAUCAGUUUGGGGGAUAUAGAUGAGGAAUAAAUGACAUCUAUAAAUGACAAGCUACCAAGAAAAAAGUACAUUGGUGAGCCCAGGCUCUUACUGAAAGUUACAGUCACAACAAUGAGCAUGUUGCCUAUCAUGGUCAAAAUAUAGAAGAGCAAGAACAUAAAAAAAAGAACUGUCUGCUCCUUUGUAUUCUGCGUGAGACCCAAGAGGACAAAGGUCUGUGUCAGCACACCUGUCCUGGGUCACAACAAUGGCUACCAUCAAUGUCCCAGUCUCCAGAGAGGUAUCACCUCCCACCAAGAUGCACCUACAGCCUACCAGGUGUUUUCAUGGAAAUCAAACCAACAAAUGCAUCACUUUCAAGUCUUUGGAGGUACGGGGCCAAUAUAUAUCAGAGAAUAAGAGAGAUUCUGGUAUGCUAAGAAGAUUGGAGACCAUUCCAGCCCCAAGACUCUUUCAAGGCCAUUCAAUUUUCAGAGUGUUCUUCUCAGCAGGGAUAGAGAAAUCAUGUAUACCUCUUUUUAAAUCCAAAAAAAAGUUAGCUUAACAUUCUAGGCCAGGUGAAUAGUUUCCUAACAAUUUAAAAUAUUGCAGCAAUAAAAUGUGUUCAUAAUAACUAAAAAUUUGAGAAUUUGGUUGUCUAAGAGUUUAUAUAAAUUAUUUUAUUUGAUCUUGGGAAUAUCUCCAUCAUUCCUCGCUAACUGAAACCAAAAGGUGUCAUAUUUUGCCAAAAUUAACAUGACACACAGCAAAGCUAUGAUUGUCUAACCCAAUCACUAUGCUCUUACCCGUUAUAGUGUAAUAAGCCCUAUCACCCUUUCCUCAAAAAUGUACAUAAAAUACAUGAUACAUAAAAUCUCCUUCACAGGGAAAAACAGAAAAAUAAUGCUCUCAAUGUGAAUGAUUAGUUAAGAUUAUAAUAGCCAUGAGUUUUAGUCCAAUUUGUGUACUAAAAAUAGACAGUAGAACUUUCCUUUUGGGAGAAGAAAGAGAAAACGAAAGAAUCAG